rnacentral:rRNA from 1 species
AGAGUUUGAUCAUGGCUCAGGAUGAACGCUAGCGGCAGGCUUAAUACAUGCAAGUCGAGGGGCAACAGGGGUAGCAAUACCUGCUGGCGACCGGCAAACGGGUGCGCAACACGUACAGAACCCUCCUUUAAGCGGGGGAUAGCCCAGAGAAAUUUGGAUUAAUACCCCAUGGUAUUAUUGUCUGGCAUCAGGUAAUAAUUAAAGAUUUAUCACUUAGAGAUGGCUGUGCGUCUGAUUAGGUAGUUGGUGUGGGUAACGGCCUACCAAGCCUUCGAUCAGUAACUGGUGUGAGAGCACGACCAGUCACACGGGCACUGAGACACGGGCCCGACUCCUACGGGAGGCAGCAGUAAGGAAUAUUGGUCAAUGGACGCAAGUCUGAACCAGCCAUGCCGCGUGAAGGAUGAAGGUCCUCUGGAUUGUAAACUUCUUUUAUGUGGGAAGAAAUGUCCGGAUUAUUCUGGAUUUGACGGUACCAUAGGAAUAAGCACCGGCUAACUCCGUGCCAGCAGCCGCGGUAAUACGGAGGGUGCGAGCGUUAUCCGGAUUCACUGGGUUUAAAGGGUGCGUAGGUGGGUUUGUAAGUCAGUGGUGAAAUCUCCGUGCUUAACAUGGAAACUGCCAUUGAUACUAUAGGUCUUGAAUUUUCCGGAGGUUAGCGGAAUAUGUCUGUAGCGGUGAAAUGCUUAGAUAUGACAUAGAACACCAAUUGCGAAGGCAGCUAACUACAGGGAUAUUGACACUGAGGCACGAAAGCGUGGGGAUCAAACAGGAUUAGAUACCCUAGUAGUCC